GGGGCUGACAGGUUUCGACAUCAGUUUCGCUGGGCGGUCGUGCGACCCGAGUUGCUCAGACUCGCUAAACGGGGCACCAACAAGAAUUGCCGAUGAGCAGUUCGCUCUCGCCGCCUGAUCUUCAGGUGAUCCGAGAGUCAUCGUGAGCAGCAAUGCCACACGGGGCCGUUCCACCGCAGCCCGGCAACAGAAGCGGCAGAUGACGGCGUGAAAGAACGCUGGCGGCGUGAAAGAACGCUGACCGCUCGGAAAGACGAGCCGUGGCCCACCGGGUAACCGGUGAGCACCCGACCCGCCGGUGAGGUUGCGUCAGCCUCGAAGCCGGGAACGGUCGUAGCGCGGGUGUCCACCGCCUGAUGGACGGGGGUUCGAUUCCCCCCAGCUCCACCG
rnacentral:tmRNA from 1 species